UACGAAGGGGGCUAGCGUUGUUCGGAUUUACUGGGCGUAAAGCGCACGUAGGCGGAUCUUUAAAGUCAGAGGUGAAAUCCCAAGGCUCAACCUUGGAACUGCCUUUGAUACUGGGGAUCUCGAGUUCGGGGAGAGGUGAGUGGAACUGCGAGUGUAGAGGUGAAAUUCGUAGAUAUUCGCAAAGAACGACCGGUGGCGAGGCGGGU
rnacentral:rRNA from 1 species